rnacentral:rRNA from 1 species
AUUGAACGCUGGCGGCAGGCCUAACACAUGCAAGUCGAGCGGAGCGGCGGACGGGUGAGUAACGCGUAGGAACCUGCCUCAUAGCGGGGGAUAACUAUUGGAAACGAUAGCUAAUACCGCAUACUAUCAGAUGAGCCUAGGUCGGAUUAGCUGGUUGGUGGGGUAAAGGCCUACCAAGGCGACGAUCCGUAACUGGUCUGAGAGGAGUAUCAGUCACACUGGAACUGAGACACGGUCCAGACUCCUACGUGAGGGAGCAGUGGGGAAUAUUGGACAAUGGGCGAAAGCCUGCUCCAGCCAUGCCGCGUGUGUGAAGAAGGUCUUCGGAUUGUAAAGCACUUUAAGUUGGGAGGCGUUACCAACAGAAUAAGCACCGGCUAACUUCGUGCCAGCAGCCGCGGUAAUUC